rnacentral:rRNA from 1 species
GGAUGAACGCUGGCGGCGUGCCUAAUACAUGCAAGUCGAACGAACUUCCGUUAAUUGAUUAUGACGUGCUUGCACUGAAUGAGAUUUUAACACGAAGUGAGUGGCGGACGGGUGAGUAACACGUGGGUAACCUGCCCAGAAGCAGGGGAUAACACCUGGAAACAGAUGCUAAUACCGUAUAACAGAGAAAACCGCCUGGUUUUCUUUUAAAAGAUGGCUCUGCUAUCACUUCUGGAUGGACCCGCGGCGCAUUAGCUAGUUGGUGAGGUAACGGCUCACCAAGGCGAUGAUGCGUAGCCGACCUGAGAGGGUAAUCGGCCACAUUGGGACUGAGACACGGCCCAGACUCCUACGGGAGGCAGCAGUAGGGAAUCUUCCACAAUGGACGCAAGUCUGAUGGAGCAACGCCGCGUGAGUGAAGAAGGGUUUCGGCUCGUAAAGCUCUGUUGUUAAAGAAGAACGUGGGUGAGAGUAACUGUUCACCCAGUGACGGUAUUUAACCAGAAAGCCACGGCUAACUACGUGCCAGCAGCCGCGGUAAUACGUAGGUGGCAAGCGUUAUCCGGAUUUAUUGGGCGUAAAGCGAGCGCAGGCGGUCUUUUAAGUCUAAUGUGAAAGCCUUCGGCUCAACCGAAGAAGUGCAUUGGAAACUGGGAGACUUGAGUGCAGAAGAGGACAGUGGAACUCCAUGUGUAGCGGUGAAAUGCGUAGAUAUAUGGAAGAACACCAGUGGCGAAGGCGGCUGUCUGGUCUGUAACUGACGCUGAGGCUCGAAAGCAUGGGUAGCGAACAGGAUUAGAUACCCUGGUAGUCCAUGCCGUAAACGAUGAUUACUAAGUGUUGGAGGGUUUCCGCCCUUCAGUGCUGCAGCUAACGCAUUAAGUAAUCCGCCUGGGGAGUACGACCGCAAGGUUGAAACUCAAAAGAAUUGACGGGGGCCCGCACAAGCGGUGGAGCAUGUGGUUUAAUUCGAAGCUACGCGAAGAACCUUACCAGGUCUUGACAUCUUCUGCCAACCUAAGAGAUUAGGCGUUCCCUUCGGGGACAGAAUGACAGGUGGUGCAUGGUUGUCGUCAGCUCGUGUCGUGAGAUGUUGGGUUAAGUCCCGCAACGAGCGCAACCCUUAUUACUAGUUGCCAGCAUUCAGUUGGGCACUCUAGUGAGACUGCCGGUGACAAACCGGAGGAAGGUGGGGACGACGUCAAAUCAUCAUGCCCCUUAUGACCUGGGCUACACACGUGCUACAAUGGAUGGUACAACGAGUUGCGAAACCGCGAGGUUUAGCUAAUCUCUUAAAACCAUUCUCAGUUCGGACUGUAGGCUGCAACUCGCCUACACGAAGUCGGAAUCGCUAGUAAUCGCGGAUCAGCAUGC